AUGGCAGGUUCCUCCGCUCCGGCAGCCAUCUCCUUCGCCCAUGUUCAGAUCGCUGAGAAGCUAACCAGGGAGAACUAUCUACCCUGGAAGGCUCAGGUCCUGCCACCGGUCCGAGGUGCCCUUCUCAUGGGUUUCCUCGACGGAUCGCGGGCAGCACCACCGGAGGAAAUCGAGGAGGCAAAGGCGGACAAGACCGUCGAGAAGGUAUGUAACCCAGCCUAUGCAGCAUGGGUGGCUCAAGACCAGCAGGUUUUGGGUUUUCUGCUCGGGUCUCUUUCCCGAGAGGUGUUGCUGCAGGUGAUGGAUCAUACGGAGAGCAGCAAGCUGUGGGCCGCGAUCCAGGCGAUGUUCGCCUCGCAGUCGCGUGCCCGCGUCAUCCAGCUCCGCACGCAGCUCACAAACUCGCGCAAGGGAGAUCUCUCUGCCACUGCGUACUUCACCAAGAUGAAGGGAAUCGCUGACGAGCUUGCUGCCACGGGGAAGAAGAUGGACGAUGACGAUCUGGUCUCGCAGAUUCUCUCGGAGCUUGAUGCAGACUACAACCCCUUCAUCUCGGCGCUCUCUGCCAAGGCGAACGAGCAGGCGAUCACCCUCGCCGAACUCUUCUCCGGGCUCCUGGUGGCCGAGUCACGUCUGGAGGCGCAGAACCCGGUGAGUCAGCAGCUGUCGGUCAAUCUCGUCGCCAAGGGUGGACGUGGCGGCGGCUAUCCUCAGGGUCGCAGCAACAGCAGCGGCAACAGUCGCGGUGGAGGAGGCGGGCGCUCCUCUGAUGACGGGCGUGGUGGCUAUGGUGGCUACCCCAACCAGCGCCAAGGCCAAGGCUGUGGUGGUCACGGUGGUGGAGGCUACCACAACGGCGGCGGCUACAACGGCGGCGGCGGCGGCUACUACUACGGCGGCGACGGCGGCGGCUACAACAACCAUACCCGAACCGACGUGGUCAUAUGA
rnacentral:rRNA from 1 species